UCUUUUUUUUUUUUUUUUGUAGACAUAGGGGUCUCACAAUAUUACCAAGCUGCUCUUGAGCUCCUGGCCUCAAGCAAUCCUCCCACCUUGGACUCACAAGGUGCUGGAAUUUAUAGAUGUGAGCCACUGAUAGAUGUGGGAUGGCAAACCCGGCCCCAAUUCUUGUAUCUGUAUAAUUUCUUUUCUUUUUUAUUGGUAAACAAGAGAGAUCCUUGCAUUCAUCAGGGACUAUGUUCCAAAUAUUCUGUUUCCUCUUUAAGGCCAAAUACAAUGCCAAACACAACAGAUUUUAUAAAUGCCUAUUGAAUUUUGUGGAAAAAUUAUAUAAUGAUCCAAAAUUGCUUUACCAUGCUUGGAUGACUGUAAGAUAUUUAAAACAAAGGGUAGCCCUCAAGAAAUAACCUUGUUUGGGAAACACAGGAUAGGUGGAGAAGGAGGGUGGCAAACUGCCUGACAGCUCCGGCACUGCAGAGCUUUGCAGACAUCAGACUUCAAAGAUCUGGACUAGGCACAGAAGAAGGAAGAGGCAUUUUACUCUUUACCAAGAACUAAGCACAUCCGUUUGAACACAGUCAUGGGAAAUGAGUAGGAACUGAGCAGUCUCAUCAUCUCUACGUUCAUUUUGAAUGGCAGAGCAGGCUCCGCCUCUGCUUUUGAGAGCCAACACAUCUUAAAUAAAAACAUUUUAGCUAAUUGAAAGGUUUAGGAAAAUGUAACCUGCAAGGCUUUGUGCUUAUCUCCUGAAGCUUCAAGCCUCAAGGCAGGUCCUGGGCUCCUGCCUCAGCAAGAAAAUCUCCUGAGAGUUUAAGAGAGCAAGAGAAAAAUGUGGGCAAAGCCAGUUAACUCCUCUAGUUUAAGUUGAAUUGCACUAAAAGAAGCAGAUUUCUUAGACAAGUUGCAGAAAAUGAUUAAAACUUAAAAAAAUUUCUCUUUCCUUUUGCCAUUGUUGCUUUAUCAACUUCCUAUAAUAUCUGUUUAUGGUGACUUAUAAUUUGUUUAGAUAUAGAAGUCACCUUCCAAAUAUUUUAGUAACACACUUCUAUGACAUAGCUUGAGAAUCUGUUUUUCUACCCAUCAAGUGGCUUUCAUUCAAAAAUACAGGAAUUAUCCCUAGCCUAAGCCAUGGAAAGCAUCCACUGAAAACACAUCUGAGUAUGUCCCUUUUCAGCAAUUCAGCAAGUCGAUUAGUACAAAUCUAAACUGGGAUCUUUCUAACUAUAGCUGAUAAUUCCUGAGUUCAUUCCUAAGUAAUUCAGAACUGUGUGCAGUAACUUUUAGUUAGACUUAUUUCAUGACAAGUUUUUCAAUUUGCUACAAGAUUUGUCUUAGAUGAUUAGACUGGCAGAUGGAAGAAAAAACCAUUUGGGAAUGAUAAUCAUGGAAGCAUCAAAAUAUCCAUUCUGCUUAAAGUCUGUCAAGAGAGCUGUGACUUCAGAGCAAGGUGCUAUGUGGGAUGUGUACAGAAAAUGAUAAAAAUGUUUCGAAGAUACUACAGUUCUCCAAGCCUCCCAAUAAAACCUUUUGUAAUCUUAGCCAGAUUCAUUAAGGAACAGCUUUCAUUGAAAAAAAUAAAGUGAUAAACUGUUCCCUGUUCUUCAUUUGGUUAGUGUAUAAGGUUGUUCGUUUCAGAUUACGAGCAUAAAAAUUUAGAAAGAUUUGGACCCAGGUUUGAAUUCAGCUAGUCAAGUUGCUUUGGGCAAGUAAAAAAUUAUCUCUGGGCCUCAGUUUCCUUACAGGAGACAGCAUGGCUUCUUGGUUAAUGGUGCAACCCCCCGGGCUCAGAGCUAUGUCCCUACACUAAAUCUGUGAUCUUUGAUGGGUUACCGAAAGUCUCAUCAUUUGAGAUGUCAUUACCUCACAAGCAGAAAAUGAACUUAAAAUGCCUAGAAAAUUCCUAACUAUAGUAAGAAAUCAACCAAUAGUAGCUCUUAUUAGUAGAUAAUUUCAUAAUUAUGGUGGCUUCUAGGAGGCAGAAGCUAAGUCCCAAAUGCAGAUUAAUUACUGAGUAUUUAUACCUCUUACACAUUUGACCAUGGUCUUUUCUUAUACUUAGGGAAUUAUUUGCCAGUCUAACUUUAAGGGAACUUGAAAAUGCAGGUAUCCCUUUAGGGAGGGAGAGUAACUUGAAUGCAAAGUGAAGAGUUUCUUCCUAUAAAGCUGUCUUCUAUCCCAGCCCUCUAUGACUUGGGUCAUGGAGACUUCCUGGAUGUAUAAUAGCUGGCCGGUGGACUGGGCCCUAGGCAGGGAUUCUCCCUCCUAUCCCUGGGAUUUUUUUCUUAACCAAGUAGUGCCCCAAAUUAGGCUGCCUUAUCUGAUCUAUAUGAUUCUGAGAACUUUAGGGGUUAGUGAACUUCCAGCAAAGUGUUCUGAUUAGGAUUACUACAGCCACACUUUUGACGAAAUAAACUAAGCAUAAAGGGGAAAAUAUAAGCAUCCCACAUCUGAUGCUAAACGGGUUGGCACUUUUCUGGGAAAUUUUUCUCUCAUGGUCUCAUCUUUCAAUAAUAACAUCUUUUCACCCUUUACCUUCCAAAAGAACAUCUUUUCUCCUCACUUUCCGAAUCUAUACACGUCUUUUUUUUUUUUUUUUUUUCUUGAGACAGGGAUCUUACUGUGUUACCCAAGCUGGAGUGCAGUGGGGUGACCAUGGUUCAUUGCAGCCUCAAACUUCUGGGCUCAAGCUCUUCUCCCACCUCAGCCUCCAGAGUAGCUGGGACUACAGGUAUGCACCACCUGCUCAGCUAUUUUUUUUUUAAACUUAUUUAGAGAUGGGUUCUCGCUAUGAUGCCAUAAUGGUCUCAAACUCCUGGCCUCAAGCCAUCUUCCCUCCUCAGCCUCCUGAGCAGAGUAGCUGGGAUUACAGAUGCAAGCUGCUGUGCCUGGAGAAUUUUCUUUUUUAAACCCACACAGAACUAUUGCUGUAAAACUAAGAACUAUACUUAACCAGAGUUUCGGACAUUUGAAGUGCUCUUGGAUAUUUUAGCAAUGUUUGGGGAUUUCUGGUGCUUAGCAGAGGGUAUAUUUUUGGGAGAGGGUAUAUUUUUGCUAUUCUAACAGAACUCUAUUGAGUAGCAAAUUUGGCUAAGAAAUGGUGGUAAGAUUGCACGUGUGCAUUUUGUACCUAUCUUGCCAAGGUUGUUCUACUCAACUAUGAAAACUCACAUUACUCUAAUAAUUUUACAGUUCUUUUUUUAGGUGAGAACACGAGAUUGGGAGGAUGAGGGCUGGAACAUAAAAUGAGAGGGAGAGAAGAUGAAGUGGGGGAGGGAGGAAACGAAGAGAGGGAGAGAGAGUGGAGUGGAGGGGGAGAGAGAGAGAGAGAAUGCACACUGUACAGAAAAAUUGCAAAGCAGAUAAAUCAGUUUCAAAUUUCAGCCCUAUCUCUCCUCUUAGCACCUUUAGUAGUGUUUGUAAACAUUGUACGACUUCCUUUAAUAGUUCAGCAUUGUUUUCAGCCAGUUGCCAACUAAUAUUCAGAUCAUAGGUGGUAAUUCAAACACUUUCUGGGUGGAUAUGUGGAUAAGAGGUCAUCUGAAGACCAAAAGACGUAAAUACUCCAGGGCAUACUCUUUUGCGAUGAACCACAUUUCAAACGCCAUAACAGUAUGAAAGAGCCUAGUGGGUCAGAAAGGCUGGCUGUAGAACACUUCCUCACAAAACCUCAAGAUUCCACUUGAAAAUAAGGCCCAUCCUGAUCAUACAUGAGGCUGGGUAGGUCUGAAUGGCUCCAUGAAAGUAACUACCAGAAAGACAAUGCAAAGCUCUUCUUUCUAGACUGUGAGUGAAUAAAUAAUCUUCAUUCUUUCUAAUAAACAGGACAAUAUGGGCACAGCUUUCUUCCCCUUGUAUAUGUUUGGUGUUUUUAUUCUUGCAUUUUUCUAACUUUGGGGUUUAUGUUAUCAAAUGAGAUCAUUCUGUGCAGGCUAUCCUGGAGAAUUAUCUACCCCAUAGUACUUGUUUUCACUUUUUUUGUGCACUUAUUAUGUUAUAUAUUGAUUGAUGGUAAUGUAGGAGAUGCAUGUUCACUGUUGCCCCACUGAGCUGAGUGCUGUCAUGGGGACUGUAUAAGAUUCACCUUUCCAGGCCCUCUGCUUAGCACAGUAUUUGGUCUAAAGUAUUCACUGAAUGUGUCCCCGGACAUUGCACAACUUCUCUUACAGCAUGAGUUCAACAGGGCAAUUAAUUGUUUCUCAGCCCCACUUGCUUGUACUUUAUUGGCUGAGAGGGUCAUCAGAGAGUCUUGGAAAUGGAAGAAACACUAAUAGUUCAGCUUCUUGUCUACUCUUUCACCAUUAAGCAAGGCCAUAUCUAAAAUAUCCCAGACAGAGGGAAAUUGAUCUUAUUUUAGAAGACAUUCAGAGAUACCACUAAAGUGAUUUCUUUGAGGUUAAAUUUAGCAUAUCUUUGAAUAAGUAACUCAAACAUUCUCAUGUUCAGCUACAUUUCUGCUCUUUCUUCAGAAGCAUUAUUAACAUACCAAGACUCUGCCCAUUAGCCUGUGGGAUAAAGACUUUGAGGAUAAGUGCCAUUCAUGCACAUAUUUAUCUUAAUCUCAUACUGGAAAACUAAAGAUAUGAAAGUUAGGAUUGAAGAUAUGUAUACAUUUUAAAUCUCCAAAUUAUUUUAAAAGAUAAUGGAAGCCAUCCUAUUUUGUCCCUACAUUGCAAGUAAGAUGGAUUUCUUGCACAUUUUACCAGGAGAUUUGGCUUCAACACCCAAUCUUUUCUAACGCAGCUCAGGCAAAUGUGACCUUCUUUUUCUCUGACCUCCAAAAGCGUGCUCCUAUACUUCUCACAAGGCCUAAUGCCAUUUUUAUGUUGCUUUCUUUAUGUUUCUUACCUCGCUAGUAGGGACAAUAUUGUACUUAAGGAGCUGCAUCCCUCAAAGUGCCUAGUACAAUGCCUCGCCUCCAAAAGAUUCUCAUGAAAGGUUUGUUGAAUACAUAUUCACUUAAAUGACUUCUCUCUCAAAAAAUACCAAAGAAAGAGACUGAGUACAUAUGUUUACCUAUGUAACCAUUAAUGGGGAUAAGAGUGUGAAUCUAACGGGGAAUCAGUUGGACCAGAGACUCAGGAUUAUCAGCUUUUUGUUGGCAUCUUUUAAAAUGCUCAUUUCCUAUUAGGUGACUUAUGUCAUAUAACAAGGUUAAAACCCUCUUUCCCAGGUUCUGGGUAAUUUAUGAUUUUUUUCCAUUAUUAUCUAAAAACAUAUACAGAAGGAAAAUCCAGUUUAAAUUGUCCAGAAAGUAAUUUCUCCGAAGCAAUAAACCAUUUUUAGGCUCAGAGCCAGGUUAGUUCCUACACAAGUAAUCCCUUGGGGCCUUUAGGUCACCAGCGAAAGGCCUCGGAAAAUUUAAUUAAAGAGAUUUCCAGGAAGGGGAAAGAAAUUAAAGAAAUUGGUCACUACAAGAUGAGGGAGUUUUCCUAUCCCAUACAAAGGUCUUACACACAGGACACACCAAAGUCUGGAAAGCAAGUGGGAUCUUCCAGAAGCCUCUGCAAUUAACACUAUUGGAUAACACAGUGUUAUUGUCAACUGUGAGAAAGAAUGUUAGAGGGCAAGUUUAUCUCACUUGCCCUCAAGUGAUAAAGUCUUCAUCCACAGGGAGCUGUUGGUUAUCUUUAGGGAUGGGAAGACAUACAAGAAAGCAACCAGUUACUGGAUUAUAUGAGGAAGGCUGUGACAGAGGCCAUACCGGAUGCUGCAGGAACACAGAAAAAGAAGGAUCUACGCCCUUUGAUGAAUUCCCAGGAAGCCUUCCCAGAUGUGUCAGUGGGCUCUUGAAGGGUGCUCAUCUACUGGAAAGGCUUCAACUUUCACCUUUGCUGAUGACGUUCCAGUCCCAGUCUGCCCAAUCUGAAUUCUUCCUCAGCCUCUGCUUAGCUUCCUAUCCUCCGUUCCUUCUCCUAUGAUCUAGGCAGACAUUGAGGAUUAUGCCUGGCACAUUUUCUCAGAGGGCCAAGGCACAGCCUUAAUUUUCUACUCAACUGGGAGCUCUAGGCACCCAUUACCAUUCAGAGUUGGCAUUCGAGACAAAAACUAUUUUUUUCCUGAAUCUAGUCCUUUUAAUUUUAAGCACCUUAAGGAAUAUACCUUUUAAAGUGUCUUGAAGGAUUUCAUUCCCCCAUUCAUUCAGCAAACUGUAAAGAGCUUCCCAUGUGCUGCCUGUUGAAUGCAACAUCCUCCCUCUCAAACCCUCUCCUGCUCAACAGGUCCCCUGCUAUCAAUGAUACCAGCAAUAGCACUGAAAGAAUAAAUAUACACCAGAUAACACAGAGUAAACAUCCAGCAAUAGGACUACUGGGUUACAUGCUCUGCUGGAAAUCCCAUAAACAUGUCUCAAAUAAUUCUGCCAUGAUGGAAAGCAAGAAAAAUGGGACGGGAAGCUGUGUGAGGAAAGAGACUUUACAACCAAGACUUUGAAGCUACAACAAUUCAAUAAUAAAAGAGAAUGAAGAGUUGGGCUCUGGUGUAAUUGAAACUUUUUCUUCCAUCUUUCCUUCCUUAAAAACAAAUCAUAAGUCAAUAUACUGUACCAGAUGUGCUGAGAUAAUUCUCCCAAUAGAAAACACCUAAAAUGCUAUGGAAAAUAUUUAAAAUUAUUUUUUUGUUGAAGUCACAGCUGAGCUGGUGGCAAAAUAACUAUUACAGACACAGAAUCGGUAGAUAAGCAUGUUUUCAAAAAGAAAACAUUAUCCUGGCCGGGCAUGGUGGCCCACACCUGUU
rnacentral:lncRNA from 1 species